ACAGUGAUGUGGAGCUAAACUGAAAAAAGUAAGUCUCAGUUCGGAUUGAAGGCUGAAAUUCGCCUUCAUGAAGCCGGAAUUGCUAGUAAUGGCAGGUCAGCAUACUGCCGUGAAUACGUUCCCGGGCCUUGUACACACCGCCCGUCACACCAUGAGAGUUGGGAAUACCCGAAGCCUGUGAGCUAACUAUACGAGGCAGCAGUCGAAGGUAGAAUCAAUGAUUGGGGUGAAGUCGUAACAAGGUACC
rnacentral:rRNA from 1 species